rnacentral:rRNA from 1 species
UACGUAGGGUGCGAGCGUUGUCCGGAAUCACUGGGCGUAAAGGGCGCGUAGGUGGCUUCUCAAGCGCGCGGUGAAAGCCCGGGGCUCAACCCCGGGUCGGCCGUGCGGACUGGGAGGCUCGAGCACUGUAGGGGCGGGUGGAAUUCCGGGUGUAGCGGUGGAAUGCGCAGAUAUCAGGAGGAACACCGAUGGCGAAGGCAGGUCACUGGGCCGCAACUGACGCUGAGGAGCGAAAGCAUGGGGAGCGAACAGG